rnacentral:rRNA from 1 species
UAAAGCGAUAACAUAAUAGUUGAAAUGCCACUAGCAACCACUUGCAAGAUUCGGAAUUUGGAACCAUAAUAAUAACUUUCCCAACUUUUUUCCUCUGCAUUUCUAAACAAAAAAUUAUGCAUAGGAGUACUGAAUCGUCGGUGUAACUCACAUCAAACUGAAUCAUCACUGUAACUCACACCAAAUCGUGUUACCUCUUGUUAGGCAAACAGGUGUACUGCUAGUUCAAGUAACAGAUUUGUACCUCUUUAACCACGGACAACAGCAGACUCAAACAAAAAAAAUCCCAAGGACAACAGCAGCAACUAAUCUGUCUCAGAAAUCCUUCCUCUCGCACUCAAGCUAAACUGCAGUAGUAGUGCACCAACAACAACUUGACAGUGCCCGAGGAGAGGACUUUUGUUCUUCUUGAACUUCUCAUUUUUUUUCGAUUCUGAACUUGCUGUUGUAAUUUUUUUUGCAACUGCCAGUGCUUGGAGGUCGGCUUCGCUCCAUCAGGUAGCCGCGUCCACCUCCGCACAGGACAGCGAUCAGGGGAGGAAGGAGAGACAGACCUGACAGCAAGUGGGGGAGGAGCCGGAGCAGCGCUACGUCAGGGAUGCAGGGUGAACUAGAACGUGAAGUGCAGAACACAUGAAGAACACUCUAAGUAAUCCAAAUAUCAAUUAGCAGGCCAGGACUAAGCUAGAAGGGAAAACGAACACUCGAAACUAGUAAUGGUGCCAACAUAUUGCGUGCAGACACCAAAAACUAGAGAAGUGGAGAGUGAAGAAGCAGAGAGAAGGCACGGUGGGUAGGAACCUGUAGUGCUGCAUCCGCAUUCAGGGACGGGCCAGGGACGAAGGAGCUCGCUGGAGCAGCACCACCCCAUGCAUGCAAUAUUGAAGCCGGUUGAGAUGAGAUGCGUCCUGGAAGAGCCGCCCUGCUGCUGUGGCACAACUUGGACUGAAGCAACCCACCCAUUUUUUGUUGAUCAUAUGCGAGGGAGGAGAUGAGCAGCAGGAUGAGCCGGGGGCAUCGACCAGGAGGCGGAGGUCCAGUCUGGGUCUGCGGGGGCGGCAACACAUCGGGCGGUGGGUGGCCGUGAUCGACAGCCCGAUCCGUGGUAGUAGAUGACCGGUGCUCUACCUACCGGAGGUCGACGGCCCGGUCACUGGCGAAGGUGGGGGAGACCAGGGGUAGCGCAUUGGGCUAGAAGUGCGUCCUAGAUUAGGGCGCCGUCGUCGGCGGGCAGUGGGAAAGCGGGUUGAUUGGGGCGCAAUCUCCGGUUGGAGGUGGGGCGACGUGGUCGGUCGGGGCGCCGUCUCCGGGUAAGGUGGUGCUGCGCGGUCGGUUGGGCGCCGUCGCCGGCGUGGUCGCGCCGCUGCACGCGGUGUGUGUGUGUGUGUGUAUGUGGGAAGGGGGGGGCUGCGGCGCAGUCGCCGGGUGGUGGUGGGUGCGCCGUUUGGAUAGGGGAGGCUGACCGCGCGGUGGAGGGGAGGGAGUCGGGGUGGAA